UACGGGGGGGGCAAGCGUUGUUCGGAAUUACUGGGCGUAAAGGGCUCGUAGGCGGCCAACUAAGUCGGAUGUGAAAUCCCCAAGCUUAACUUGGGAACUGCAUCCGAUACUGGAUGGCUUGAAUCCGGGAGAGGGAUGCAGAAUUCCAGGUGUAGCGGUGAAAUGCGUAGAUAUCUGGAGGAAUACCGGUGGCGAAGGCGGCAUCCUGGACCGGCAUUGACGCUGAGGAGCGAAAGCUAGGGGAGCGAACGGG
rnacentral:rRNA from 1 species